rnacentral:lncRNA from 1 species
CAACAUGAGCCCAUCUGAUGUGAACUGGGAGAGCCCACAGAUGAAGAAAACACUAAACAAAAUUACUAUGCUAUAGGAAGCAAAACCACAAAAAGAAAAGGAAGCUCAUUAACACUAUAUAAGAUCAAUGGUUUGGUAACAAGUUGGAAGAGGCAGCACACUUCAUUUUGAGGCAGGUAAGUAUGGUGCCCCCUAUUCCUCUCACCUGCCUUCAAACACCUACGUAAAUGCCACAGUUAGGAGCCUAUGGUAGUUCCUCCAGUCUGUGGGGUUGGUAAUCAUCACACAGUAAGGAAGGUCUUGCUCUUUGGUGGUGCCUGAAACUACAAAGGAUAAAUCUCAAGUUUACUUCCCGAAUGCUUUUCUAAAUU